rnacentral:rRNA from 1 species
GACGAACGCUGGCGGCGUGCUUAACACAUGCAAGUCGAACGAUGAAGCCUAGCUUGCUAGGUGGAUUAGUGGCGAACGGGUGAGUAAUACGUGAGUAACCUACCUUUAACUCUGGGAUAAGCCUGGGAAACUGGGUCUAAUACCGGAUACGACCAAUCUCCGCAUGGGGUGUUGGUGGAAAGCGUUAUGUAGUGGUUAUAGAUGGGCUCACGGCCUAUCAGCUUGUUGGUGAGGUAACGGCUCACCAAGGCGACGACGGGUAGCCGGCCUGAGAGGGUGACCGGCCACACUGGGACUGAGACACGGCCCAGACUCCUACGGGAGGCAGCAGUGGGGAAUAUUGCACAAUGGGCGCAAGCCUGAUGCAGCGACGCCGCGUGAGGGAUGACGGCCUUCGGGUUGUAAACCUCUGUUAGCAGGGAAGAAGAGAAAUUGACGGUACCUGCAGAGAAAGCGCCGGCUAACUACGUGCCAGCAGCCGCGGUAAUACGUAGGGCGCGAGCGUUGUCCGGAAUUAUUGGGCGUAGAGAGCUUGUAGGGGGUUUGUCGCGUCUGCUGUGAAAGGCCGGGGCUUAACCCCGUGUAUUGGGUGGGUACGGGCCACUACAGUGCCGUAGGGGAACGGGGAACUCCUGGGUGUACGGUGGGGAUGCGCGGAAAUACGAAACAACACCCAUGGGAAAGGCCGUUUCUGGGGGUUGAUGAAGCUGAGAAGCGAUGCUUGGGGAGCGACACAUUUAUAAACGGCAUCUUCAAGGGGGAGUGCGCAAGGAGAUUUUUUUUUAUUGGGCGGCCCCCGGGCGGGGGGCCCCCCCCGGGGUAGUGGCGUGUGGGGAGGGGUUGAAAAGACCAAAAAUGCAGAUUAUUCUACAA